UGGGGAAUUUUGGACAAUGGGCGAAAGCCUGAUCCAGCAAUGCCGCGUGUGUGAAGAAGGCCUUCGGGUUGUAAAGCACUUUUGUCCGGAAAGAAAUCCUUGGUUCUAAUAUAGCCGGGGGAUGACGGUACCGGAAGAAUAAGCACCGGCUAACUACGUGCCAGCAGCCGCGGUAAUACGUAGGGUGCGAGCGUUAAUCGGAAUUACUGGGCGUAAAGCGUGCGCAGGCGGUUUGCUAAGACCGAUGUGAAAUCCCCGGGCUCAACCUGGGAACUGCAUUGGUGACUGGCAGGCUAGAGUAUGGCAGAGGGGGGUAGAAUUCCACGUGUAGCAGUGAAAGUGCGUAGAGAUGUGGAGGAAUACCGAUGGCGAAGGCAGCCCCCUGGGCCAAUACUGACGCUCAUGCACGAAAGCGUGGGGAGCAAACAGGAUUAGAUACCCUGGUAGUCCACGCCCUAAACGAUGUCAACUAGUUGUUGGGGAUUCAUUUCCUUAGUAACGUAGCUAACGCGUGAAGUUGACCGCCUGGGGAGUACGGUCGCAAGAUUAAAACUUAAAGGAAUUGACGGGGUCAUAGCUGUUUCCU
rnacentral:rRNA from 1 species